AGGCCAUGAGUAAACCCUCGCCUCUAGGUAUCCGGUAAUCCCCCCAUCCUCUCUCUCUCUCUCCUCGCUGGUCGCCGCCUCUCACCGCAUCUGCUGCCCCUCUCUGCUCUCUUUGUACACCCCUCAUCGGUGACUCUCGCCCAGCCUGGAACUCUUGGCACCAGCGAUCACUGGCGAGCAGGCCAUGGACGGCAGAGGCGGCGCGGUGGAGCUGCGCGAGACCCACCGCCUGACGGGCCACGUCGACCGCGCGUGGGCACUCGCCUGGAACCCAAACCUGGGCGGCGGCGAAAGCCCCGUCCUCGCCUCCUGCGGUGGCGACAAGACGGUACGGAUCUGGAAGCGAGCUCCCGACGGCGGGUGGCAGUGCACGGAUGUGCUCGAAGACACGCACAACCGCACGGUGAGGUCCUGCGCUUGGUCCCCCGACGGAAAGCUGCUGGCCACAGCAAGCUUCGAUGCCACGACGGCCAUAUGGGAGUACUCUGGUGGGGACUUUGAGUGCGUCGCCACACUGGAGGGGCAUGAGAAUGAAGUGAAGAGUGCGUCGUGGAGCCAGUCUGGGUCGCUGCUUGCAACAUGCAGCCGGGACAAGGCUGUGUGGAUAUGGGAGAUGCAGCCAGGGAACGAGUACGAGUGUGUUGCCGUAUUGCAGGGGCACACUCAGGAUGUGAAGAUGGUCCAGUGGCACCCGAUCCUUGAUAUUCUGGUUUCUGUCAGCUAUGACAAUACGAUCAAGGUCUGGGCUGAUGAUGGCAAUGAUGAGUGGCAUUGUGUACAGACAUUAACUGAAGCCGACAACUGUGGUCAUUCCUCAACAGUAUGGUCAAUAUCUUUUAAUCAGAAAGGAAAUAGGAUGGUCACAUGCAGUGAUGACUGUACUUUGAAAAUUUGGGACACAAGUAUUGAUUUGUCGCAACCAGAGACUGGAGAAGGUCAUGAAUCUUGGCAGCAUGUUUCUACUCUAACAGGAUAUCAUGGUCGAACUAUUUUUUCAGCUCAUUGGUCAAGGUUAGCGAGGAUUUUAUUGCCAGUGGGGCAGGCGAUGAUGCUAUCUGCUUAUUCGUUGAGGAGAAGAGUAGUAUGGUUGAGGGCCCUUCGUACAGAUUAAUAUUGAAAAAGGAGAAGGCACAUGACAUGGAUAUAAACUCUGUCAGAUGGUGUCCUCAGGACCCAAGGGUGUUGGCAUCUGCCAGCGAUGAUGGCACGGUGAAAUUGUGGGAGCUGCGAGGGAAUAUACUUGCUUGAAUUUGCAUCCAGUCUGCUGCAAUAUGGUUAUAGUUCUAGCUGUGUACCUUAAGAUCAUAGAAUGGGGUAGGGAUUGCUUUUUCGUUUUCUGCUCUCCAAAACAAUGGUCUCUAGGUUAGCUAAUACUUGUAUCUGCUGAGAGCUUGCAAGGCGAUGAUCUUUUAGCAGAUUUUGAUCCGAGCUAAAGAAGAUAGAUGGCACCCUUACAAGACGCUGAAUUGUGUUUGAAAUGGUAGACACAUGUCAUUUUUACAAAUAAGCAAAGUUACAUCAAAUUAA